rnacentral:piRNA from 1 species
UGAGGUUCCCGCUUGAAUUCCUUGUCUA